GUUAGGUGGGCCAAAAAAUUUGUUUGGGUUUUUCUGUAAGAUGGUAUGGAAAAACCCGAACGAACUUUUGGGCCCACCUAA
ensembl:miRNA